rnacentral:rRNA from 1 species
CCUACGGGAGGCAGCAGUAGGGAAUAUUGCUCAAUGGGGGAAACCCUGAAGCAGCAACGCCGCGUGGAGGAUGAAGGUUUUCGGAUUGUAAACUCCUUUUGUUAGAGAAGAUAAUGACGGUAUCUAACGAAUAAGCACCGGCUAACUCCGUGCCAGCAGCCGCGGUAAUACGGAGGGUGCAAGCGUUACUCGGAAUCACUGGGCGUAAAGAGCGCGUAGGCGGGUUAGCAAGUCAGAGGUGAAAUCCUAUGGCUUAACCAUAGAACGGAAUUUGAAACUGUUAUUCUAGGGUAGGGUGGUGGUGGGUGGAAUUCUGGUGGUAGGGGUAAAAUCGG